rnacentral:rRNA from 1 species
CCCUUAGAUGUUCUGGGCCGCACGCGCGCUACACUGAUGCAUUCAACGAGUCUAAAACCUGGUCUGAUAGGGCUGGGUAAUCUUUUGAAAGUGCAUCGUGAUUGGGAUAGAUGAUUGCAAUUCUUCAUCUUCAACGAGGAAUGCCUAGUAAACGCAAGUCAUCAGCUUGCAUCGAUUACGUCCCUGCCCUUUGUACACACCGCCCGUCGCUCCUACCGAUUGGAUGAUCCGGUGAGCUAUUCGGACCUUCGCUUCGUCGAUUUUCGGCUUUGUGAGGGAAAGUCUCGCGAACCUUAUCAUCUAGAGGAAGGAGAAGUCGUAACA